CCAUCUUGAGAGCGGGAAGGAGGCCGAGACGCCACACGGAGCCGCCAUCUUGAUUGGGGGCAGGGCAUGGGGGAGAAUGCGUUGGGCGCCAUCUUGAGUACGGGCAGCUCCUGUGUUGCGGCCGGGGGAGCGGCGCCAACGCCGCCAUGUUGGCCGCGGGCAGGACGCGGCGCGCUGGCGGCGGUUGCCAUCUCGGGUGAGGGAGCGCGGCCGCCUCGCAGCAGUGAGGUGAAUGAUUGAGCACUGCCCGUCUGGUGCUCAGCAGCACUUAACAGUUUCACUUGACAUACAAGGUAAAGUGGUUUAAUUGCAGUUCAUGUCUUAAGGAUAAAGAUUACCCGGUGGGGAGACAGCCCAUAAGGUGCUCCAGGAUACUUGUCCUCCUGCCAACUGCUGUGCUCCAUGGGACACUUCCCAAAGUGUGAACUUGAAGGAGGAGCCCUUUACCAUCACAUCCUGAGCAAACCUUCACAAGCACUCGAGAUGUAAAGCUGAGAGCUCUUUGCCUCUUGCUGGUGAGCCUGAUUUUCACCUCCCUCCCCCCCACACCCCCAAAGGCU